UUUCCAAGGGAAAAAAGGGCGGGAAGAAGAAAGUAGUCAAUCCCUUUGCGAAGAAAGAUUGGUACGAUAUCAAGGCUCCCUCGAUCUUCAACGUCCGCACCGUCGGAAAAAGCCUAGCUACCAGGACACAGGGCACCAAGAUACCCUGUGAAGCCUUCAACACUCAUAUCACUCUCCUUUUUCUGAAUUAUGGGGUGUGGAUUUUGUGCAAAGCCUUUAACUUCAUCACCAUGUUUUAUUUGUGCUUGACACUGCAUCAGUGACCUUCCAUCUUCCAACAAGAUACUGGCGGUAGGCUGAUGACUACGGCUGCCUGCAUGGACCACAAACUUGGAAAGACAAUACACAUUUUUGCAACACGAACAUCUGAUUCCUUUGCGCAUGACCCACCCUUCUGCCAUAACAUGGUUGUCCUUUUUAUUCAAGUAAUGUGCUUUCUCCCCCAACAACACCACAUUAUUGUCUAUCAGAGAAGACAGGUUGAUUGAAGGCAUGCAUCUAUUCCGGCGUUUUUCUCCUUUCAACUUGUGAGGUUCAACCAAGUAACUUGAUGGCUGAUCUUGUCUAUCCUUCUCCACAAAAGAUUGAGGUUCAACCAAGUAGCUUGAUGGCUGAUCUUGUCUAUCCUUCUCCACUGAAGAACUACCGGAAGACGAAGGCGAGUUGUUGCAUUCAAGCUUUCUUUUCUUUAAUUCAGGUUCUCCACAUUCCAUAACAGGUUGCGGGCGUUUGCCAAUCAAUCCCUGGAGUUCAAGCAUCAAUUGAUCAACUUGAUCUUUAUCUAUGAUGUGUUCAGUCAUCCAUUGAUCAAAUUCAUCGUCAUCGAGAAAAGCAUCCGUUUUCCUGAAAAUAUAAAAAUCUUGUUAUGUAAAUUACAUGAAAACAAAUGCAUUCAUGUUUAAUUGAUAUGGCAGGAAAGGAAUUAAGCAUGACACUAUCAGAUGUUCUGGGUUA